rnacentral:rRNA from 1 species
GCUAGGAUGAACGCUAGCUACAGGCUUAACACAUGCAAGUCGAGGGGCAGCAUGAUCUUAGCUUGCUAAGAUUGAUGGCGACCGGCGCACGGGUGAGUAACGCGUAUCCAACCUUCCCUAUAGUAGAGGAUAGCCCGGCGAAAGUCGGAUUAAUACUCUAUGUUAUUCAAUGCGGACAUCUAAGUUGAAUCAAAGGUUUACCGCUAUAGGAUGGGGAUGCGUCUGAUUAGGUUGUUGGCGGGGUAACGGCCCACCAAGCCUUCGAUCAGUAGGGGUUCUGAGAGGAAGGUCCCCCACAUUGGAACUGAGACACGGUCCAAACUCCUACGGGAGGCAGCAGUGAGGAAUAUUGGUCAAUGGGCGAGAGCCUGAACCAGCCAAGUAGCGUGCAGGAUGACGGCCCUAUGGGUUGUAAACUGCUUUUAUACAGGGAUAAAGUUCGCCACGUGUGGCGUUUUGUAGGUACUGUAUGAAUAAGGACCGGCUAAUUCCGUGCCAGCCGCGGC